rnacentral:rRNA from 2 species
AGACCCGAAACCCGGUGAUCUAGCCAUGGGCAGGUUGAAGGUUGGGUAACACUAACUGGAGGACCGAACCGACUAAUGUUGAAAAAUUAGCGGAUGACCUGUGGCUGGGGGUGAAAGGCCAAUCAAACCGGGAGAUAGCUGGUUCUCCCCGAAAGCUAUUUAGGUAGCGCCUCGUGAAUUCAUCUCCGGGGGUAGAGCACUGUUUCGGCUAGGGGGCCAUCCCGGCUUACCAACCCGAUGCAAACUGCGAAUACCGGAGAAUGUUAUCACGGGAGACACACGGCGGGUGCUAACGUCCGUCGUGAAGAGGGAAACAACCCAGACCGCCAGCUAAGGUCCCAAAGUCAUGGUUAAGUGGGAAACGAUGUGGGAAGGCCCAGACAGCCAGGAUGUUGGCUUAGAAGCAGCCAUCAUUUAAAGAAAGCGUAAUAGCUCACUGGUCGAGUCGGCCUGCGCGGAAGAUGUAACGGGGCUAAACCAUGCACCGAAGCUGCGGCAGCGAACGUAUCACCCAAGACAACUUUACGGAGUUGACGAUUGACGGAGCGAAGCGACGUCAAAGCGUUCAUUAAAGUCGAGUUGGCUUAGGGAUACGUUCGUUGGGUAGGGGAGCGUUCUGUAAGCCUGUGAAGGUGUGUCGUGAGGCAUGCUGGAGGUAUCAGAAGUGCGAAUGCUGACAUAAGUAACGAUAAAGCGGGUGAAAAGCCCGCUCGCCGGAAGACCAAGGGUUCCUGUCCAACGUUAAUCGGGGCAGGGUGAGUCGACCCCUAAGGCGAGGCCGAAAGGCGUAGUCGAUGGGAAACGGGUUAAUAUUCCCGUACUUGGUGUUACUGCGAAGGGGGGACGGAGAAGGCUAUGUUGGCCGGGCGACGGUUGUCCCGGUUUAAGCGUGUAGGUGUGUGUUCCAGGUAAAUCCGGUUCACUUUAACACUGAGGCGUGACGACGAGGCACUACGGUGCUGAAGCAACAAAUGCCCUGCUUCCAGGAAAAGCCUCUAAGCAUCAGGUAACAUCAAAUCGUACCCCAAACC